GAUGAACGCUGGCGGCGUGCCUAAUACAUGCAAGUCGAGCGACCAGACGAGGAGCUUGCUCCCCUGACGUUAGCGGCGGACGGGUGAGUAACACGUGGAUAACCUACCUAUAAGACUGGGAUAACUUCGGGAAACCGGAGCCAAUACUGGAUCAUAUAUUGAACCGCAUGGUUCAAUAGUGCAUGACGGCUUUGCUGUCACUUAUAGAUGGAUCCGCGUCGCAGUAGCUAGUUGGUAAGGUAACGGCUUACCAAGGCAACGAUGCGUAGCUGACCUGAGAGGAUGAUCAGCCACACUGGAACUGAGACACGGUCCAGACUCCUACGGGAGGCAGCAGUAGGGAAUCUUCCGCAAUGGGCGAAAGCCUGACGGAGCAACGCCGCGUGAGUGAUGAAGGUCUUCGGAUCGUAAAGCUCUGUUAUUAGGGAAGAACAAAUGUGUAAGUAACUAUGCACGUCUUGACGGUACCUAAUCAGAAAGCCACGGCUAACUACGUG
rnacentral:rRNA from 1 species